rnacentral:rRNA from 1 species
UGAUCCUGGCUCAGGACGAACGCUGGCGGCGUGCCUAAUACAUGCAAGUCGAGCGGACUUUAAAAGCUUGCUUUUAAAGUUAGCGGCGGACGGGUGAGUAACACGUGGGCAACCUGCCUGUAAGACUGGGAUAACUUCGGGAAACCGGAGCUAAUACCGGAUAAUCCUUUUCCUCUCAUGAGGAAAAGCUGAAAGACGGUUUACGCUGUCACUUACAGAUGGGCCCGCGGCGCAUUAGCUAGUUGGUGAGGUAACGGCUCACCAAGGCGACGAUGCGUAGCCGAC